CUCGGUUCAAUUUUCCCGGCUCCACAGUCUCCAAUUAAACAAACAAAAACCCCUCCAAACUCCAAAGGGCUCUUAAAACCCUACCUUACUCUUCUCCUUCUCCUUCUCCUGUUGCUCAUGUAUUAUCAUCAAGAACAACUGCUUCUUCUAUUGGCAAAAUCUCCUCCCCCUUCUUCAGUAACCCACAAAAACCCACUUCUUCAAAUCCCAAAACUUCAAACGAAGAGCUCACUUCAAACUCCAAAACUUUCCCAGAAGUCACAACCUUUAACGCUCAAAACCAAACGCCACUUCAAGAAUUCCUCAAGAGAAACUGCAAGUCAGGUAAUUGCACUCUCAAUGAAGCAACUCACUUCUUUGAUCACAUGAUUAACAUGAACCCCACCCCUCCAAUUGCAUCAUUCCAUCUUUUAUUAGGUUCACUUGCUAAGAAAAAGCUUUACUUUGAUGUUAUUUUAUUGUGUAAAAGAAAGAAUCAGCUGGGUUGUUGAUGGAUUUUAUCACUUUGAAUAUUUUGCUUAAUUGUUUUUGUAAUGCGAAGAGGGUCUGUGAUAGUCUUGUGGUUUUUGGGAGGAUUUUAAGGUGAGGUUUUAUGCCAAAUACUGCGACUUUUAGUUCUAUGAUUAAGGGUUUAUUUCGGAGGAUAAAACUGGUUAGGUUGUCGGAUUGUUUAAGAAAAUGGGUUUGUUUGGUUGUUGGCCAAAUGUGGUUACUUAUGGUAUUCUGAUUAAUGGGUUGUGUCGAACUGGGAAUAAGUGUCGCUGUGAAGUUUCAUGAAGAAAUGCUUAGUGGAAAUGGUAAAUUUGGUAUUUAUUGCAAGCCUAAUUUGGUUUGUUAUGGAAGUAUUAUUGAUGGUCUUUGUAAGGAUGGGUUGGCGGAGAAGGCGAAAAAGCUUUUUCUGGAAAUGAAGGGUAGAGGUAUUUGUCCUGAUGUGGUUGUGUAUGGCCCCCUAAUGCAUGGUUUGUGCUCUAUGGAUGAGUGGGAGGAGGCUAAAGGUUUGUUUAAUGAGAUGAUGGAUCAUGGAUCAAGGUAUGCGGCCUUAUGUGGUAACAUUCAAUUUGCUGAUAGAUAUGCUUUGCCAGUCUUGGAAGAUGAAAGAGUCAAGUGAAUUGUUUGAGCUUAUGGCUCAGAGAGGUAUAGAACCCGAUGGUUUUACUUAUUCCACUUUGAUAGAUGGAUACUGUUUGUCUGGUAUGAUUGAUGAUGGGAGGGAGCUCUGUGUCUCUGGUGAAUAAGGGGUGUAAACAUAAUGUUGUUAGCCAUAAUGCUUUGAUUAAUGGGUAUUGCAAAAAUCAGAAGGUAGAUCAAGCUACGCGCCUUUACAGGGAAUGCUUGAUGAAGGGACUAGACCAACAAUUAUUAUAUACAAUAUUUACCCGGGUGGCUCUUUCCAGGCAGGCAAGGUUUGAAAUACUCGAAGCUGUUUGUUGAGAUGCAACUUCAUGACCUGGAACCUAAUUUGACAAAAUAUAAUGUUUAUCUGGAUGUGCUUUGCAAGAACAAUUCUGUUUCAGAGGCAGUAGGACUUGUUUCACAGUUUAGAAAAUUGUAAGUUUGAAUUGAGUGUUGAAAUCUUUAACUGCCUUAUUGAUGGCUUGUGCAAAACAGGGAAGCUUGAAACUGCCUGGGACCUAUUCUACAGAAUGUCUAAUGAAGGUUUAAAGCCAACUGUUGUGACAUAUUCUAUAAUGAUACAUGGACUUUGUAAAGAAGCCAAAUGGAAAAGGCAAAUGAUCUGUUAUUGGAAAUGGAGGACAAAGGUUGUGCUCCAAAUUUGGUCACAUUUAACACACCCAUGCUUAGUUUCUUACAAAAUAAUGAGACACAAAAGGUAGUUGAAUUUCUUCAUUAGAUGAAAGCAAGAAAACUGUCACCAGAUGUAUCCACUGUCUUGAUAGUGAUAGAAUUACUCUCGAAGGAUGAAAACUACCAUGAAUGCAUAAAACUGCUUCCUGAAUUUCCUACUCAAGAGCGAACAAAAAAGUCGACAUGAUGAAUGCCAGUCAUUUGUGUGAUUUGGCUGAAGAAAACUUUAUUAGAACAUUCCCAGAGUUCAACUUUCAACCAGAAGGUGCACAGAACUAUGGCCUGCUGUUGUCCUUCCAUUUGAUUGAAGUUAUUAGUGACAGCUUCAAUGAUGGGGUAAAUCUGUUGAAGUUCAUCAGAGGGUAGUUUGAACUGUUGAGGUGUGGCAUCAGGUUCUGAUUUACAUCGUUGACUACAACUGGAUUCCUUGAAUCUAUAUGUUUAUUCAUAACAGAAGUUGUAGCAUGGGUAUGGUGGACCAGAAUCGUUGAUGGAGCAAAUAUCCUGCUAGUUUGAGGAACAGACGUAAGGGGAUGCUAACAACCACUGUAUCUCUUAAGAUCUGUGACAUCAAGUACGUCUUGAAUAUAUUGCCAACCACUGUAUCUUUUUGUGUACAGGUAUGCAUGUCCUUUGUAUCGUCUUUGUGGAAUAUAUUGCCAAUCUACCCUAAAUUAAUUUUCAGAACUGUUGUUGGAUAUGCUCUUUUAAUAGCCAUGGCAUACAAAUCUAUUUGUAACUGUUUUUUUAAUUGAACCUGAUCACUGGAACUUAUGUUUGGCCACACGCUUGUUGAUAGUUUAGAUAUCCAAUUCAAAUUUGAUAAAAAUUCACAAGAAAGGCAGUGAAUCACCGUGCCUUUAAUGUCAUUAAUUUUAGUUUUUUUUUAUAACUAAAAUUGCAAGUGAAAAUAUGUUUUGGACGUUGUAAUCUCUCUAUCCAUAGAGCACAAUAUAUUUGAAACUUGAAAGUUUAACCAUAUUGGAAAGCUGGAUGAGAAGAUGCAACUUCAUAGUGAGAACCAGAUUAUUGUGAAGUCUGUUGAGCACUGAUCAGUGUCGUAGCAGUGGAUACAAGAACUACCUUUGGAGGCUAUCAUUUCUAAUCAAGUGAGACUUGUGCAUGCAUCUCUCUCAUAGUUGCAAAUAUUUACAUCUAUAAUUGUAAAUGAGGAAAUAUGAGAGCCUGAUGUUAAGUGCAAUUGUCAAAUUCAAUCAUGUAACCAGGCUUAUUUAAGACAGGUGCGUAUUGUAGAGCCCUCAUGCACAAGUAACAGACUAAAGCAACUGAUGGUUUGGAUGGGGCAGGAGAAACUCUAUUGUAAACAUUAGCCUGCAGACCUUUUUAUGGCAGCAGUUAAAAAAACAUUUGAUCGACGUUAAGUCUCUAGAAAAUAGGAAAUAGCUAUGCUGAUGAUCUUAUAUCUGUGAGAGAAGUCGCGAGACUGGCUGGAGUCCCGAUAGAAGUUGUUUGGAUGAGCAACGCUUAGAGCUUAUUUCAGAGGAUCACAGGUUAGUCAGAUCUGGACCAGCAUGGGCCGGAACAAGUGAAAUGAAGGCGUGCCAUUUUGAGAAUUUUUGGAUCCUUCAGACAAAGCGAAAACACCAAGGAGUAAAAAAAGACAUGAUUUAUCAUUUAUGUUUUUUCCAUUUGAAACAUGUAUCUUAAUCACCAGACAUUAUUAAGUGGAUUUACUGGUAGUUGGAUUAUUUCGAAUUGCUUGCAUUACACUUCUAUAAGACAGUGAUUUCUGCA